GAAGGGGCCUCUGGAGAAUCCCGAUCGUCGGAUCGGGUGCCGAAGGGGCAAGGCGCAUCGCCGCAAGCGCGAUGCCGCUGAAACUCUCAGGCAAAAGGACAGAGCAAAGCUA
rfam:Eggerthella lenta DSM 2243, complete genome.